UACACUGGUUUUGAUUUUCAGAAGGUAUACGCCAUCAGCAUUUCUUCAAGUUCCUAUGCCUUAAUCAAUUCAUAGUAUUUAUUUCUUCCUAUUUAGCAGCGCAAUUUGUUGCUGUUUGUUUAGAUUGAAUUCAGAUUGCACAUUGUGACCAUAACUGUGAACCUAGUUUUGAUUAAGAACUCGUUGUAAUUCAGAAAGAAGCUGGUAUUCCUAAAA
rnacentral:misc_RNA from 1 species